rnacentral:rRNA from 1 species
AACGAACGCUGGCGGCAGGCCUCAAACAUGCAAGUCUAGGGGGGUAGCAAUACCCACCGGCGGACGGGUGCGUAACACGUGGGAAUGUACCUACUGGUUCGGAACAACGCAGGGAAACUUGCGCUAAUACCGAAUAAGCCCCGAAAGGGGAAAGAUUUAUCGCCAGUAGAUCAGCCCGCGUAGGAUUAGCUAGUUGGUGAGGUAAUGGCUCACCAAGGCUCCGAUCCUUAGCUGUUCUGAGAGGAAGAUCAGCCACACUGGGACUGAGAC